AAUUAAAUCAGUUUUUACAGAGAACUAACAUCAAGAUGAGGCACCUAAUUGUAUUUGGAAUAUUGAUAAUAUUCCUGUCUACCACGGUCCUGUCACAUUACAAGAGUUAUCCCACCUGUUACCGCCCGGUAUGUUAAUGUCAAUGUAAUUGUAAAAGUCGAAGACCGCUAUGGCCGAAAGGUCGACGAGGCAGAGGGCGGAAAGGGAAGCGAGACCUAGGCGUUAGUGAUGUCGAGGAUGUCUUCACGAGAAAUGAUGAACCGUUGGAAGAACUAGAGAGGUUUGUGACUGGACAGGAUUUUAGUCUAGAAGAGGAAUAAAGUUUUUCUGGUAAUAUUUUCUAAUGGUUGACAUGACGAUCCAACCAAGUGUCCAACCAGAAGUUGAAAAAUAAAAUGCCAUAAAGUC